rnacentral:rRNA from 1 species
UCGUAAUAAGGAGAAGGUGGAGGGGAAGAUAGGAUGGUGCAAUUCCCNUAGACCAGGGCAGCUCAGAGGGAGAAAGUCCCGUACGSGGCUAAUCGUCGAUUCCAUGUGAAGCCCUUUCGACGAGUCGAGUUGUUUGGGAAUGCAGCUCUAAAUGGGUGGUAAAUUUCAUCUAAAGCUAAAUACCUGCCAGAGACCGAUAGCGCACAAGUAGAGUGAUCGAAAGAUGAAAAGCUWUUURAAAAGAGAGUCAAACAGUACGMGAAAUUGWUGAAAGGGAAWKGCKWGCAAUCAGACUCSUCUGUGGAAGGUCAGCCAUUCUUCGGGAUGGUGUAUUCUUCUAUCGACGGGCCAGCAUCAGUUUCGACGGCUGCAUAAAGAUUUUGGGAACGUAGCUCUNNUCCCAGAGUGUUAUAUCCCGGAAUNUAAUACAGCAGNUGAGACCGAGAUCCGCGUUUUNNCAUAGAUGCUG